GAACAUAAAAGGAGAUGUUUUGCAGAAUGUCCAGGAUUCUCAUGUCCAUACAACAAAAGUGGACGUACAAUGUGGCACAGUCUGGCUGAAGGGGCUGACAUUGAGAUGGUAGAUAACGCUCAAUGACGGAGAGGCCGUUUGCUGCUGAUCCUGGGGUGAUGAAUCACACGACCGGAGAGAGAUGAGCUUGGAGCGCAGAGAAAAGAAAUGUGAAACAAGAAGAUAGUCGGCGGAGAGGCCAAAAUUAAGGCCCUGUCGAGAUGGCGAUGCGGGGCUGGCAGAGGGGGACAUGGCCAGUCUGCGAGGACCCCGUGUCGAGCCUGCAGGAGGGAGCGUAGCGUGAUAAGGGAAGGUAGGACUUAAUCUUCUAAAGUGCUGAUGGUGCUGGAUGGAGAAGACUACGACUGGAACUGCCGCUUUCAAAAAAGGACGCCAUUAUUCACCAUCGAGUGCAGGGCCUGCGAAGAUUGUACGCCUGUGUGUGCGUCUAAGAGAUAGUGUGUGCGCAAAGACCUAUUUGUGUAAAGUAUGUAUGGUGUCCCUCGAAACGCUGAUUCCUGAUAACAAGUCACGGCGACAAACAAAUACAGCAGGUUCAGCCUGUGGGGUCACUGUGUGUGUGUGUGUGUGUGACAUGUUGAUUAACUCUGUCCACCGCUUACAGUCUGGUGUGAAAGAAUCUGCAUCACUGCUCAAAUGGCAGUCUGAACAUUAUGAUACAGCCAAAAACAUGAUUUAUGCUAUAAAAGUUAAGGUUGCAAUCUGAUUGGAUGAGCCACAUUCAAAACUGUCUGAUAUACACACACCUGUGUCCACAGAUUAAUUGAAUUCUAUGUUAUUUACCAAAUUUGCUACAAACCAGUUUUUCAAACUGGGGUUGUGAGGGUUUGCUUGGGGGUCUGUGGAUCAUUUGAGGGAGAAAAAAGAUUGUUAUAUUUUUUAGGGCUGUCAAAGUUAACAUGUUAACUUAAUAUUUAUUAAAUCUGUUUAACACAA